rnacentral:rRNA from 1 species
GACGUAGGGCGCAAGCGUUGUCCGGAUUUAUUGGGCGUAAAGAGCUCGUAGGCGGCUCGUUGCGUCGGCUGUGAAAUCCCGCAGCUCAACUGUGGGCUUGCAGCCGAUACGGGCGGGCUGGAGUUCGGUAGGGGAGACUGGAAUUCCUGGUGUAGCGGUGAAAUGCGCAGAUAUCAGGAGGAACACCGGUGGCGAAGGCGGGUCUCUGGGCCGAUACUGACGCUGAUGCGCGGAAGCUAGGGGAGCAAACGGG